CACAAGGCCCCUUUAGGCAGAGCUUAGACCAGAGUUACAUCACCUGGAUGAUCAUUGCAGAGAUAUGUCACAAUGUCCCCAUAGGCAAAUCCAAGACAAGCGUUCGUCACCUGGGUGAUCAUUGCAGAAAUAUGUGACAAUGCCCUCAGGAGGCGGAGCCUACAGAAGAGUCCAAUCACCUGCGUGAUCAGUGCAGAGAUAUUUCACAAUGCCCCUGCAGGCAGAGUGUAAGCAAGAGUUACAUCACCUAGAUGAUCAGUGCAGAGAUAUGUCACAAGGCCCCCUAUACGCAGAGUCGGACAAGAGUUACAUCACCUCAGUGAUCAAUGCAGUGAUAUGUCACUAUGCCCCGUAGGCAGAGCCUAGUCAAGCGUUACAUCACCUGGGUGAUUACUGCAGAGAUAUGUCACAAAGUCCCCAUACACAGAGCCUAGACAAGAGUCCCAUCACCUGGGUGAUCAGUGCAGAAAUAUGUCACAAUGCCCCUAUAGGCCGAUCGAAGACAAGAGUCCUUCACCUGGGUGAUCAGUGCAGAAAUAUGUCACAAUGCCCCCUUAGGCAGAGCCUAGAUAAAAGCCCCAUCACCUGGAUGAUCAGUGCAGAGUUAUGUCACAAAUUCCCUUUAGGCAGAUCCUAGAGAAAGGUUACAUCACUUGGAUGAUCAGUGCAGAGAUAUGUCACUAUGCUACAGUAGGCAGAGCCUAGACUAGAGUUACAUGACCUCGGUGAUCAGUGCAGAGAUACAUCGCAAUGUCCCUGUAGGCAGAGCCUUGACAAGUGGUACAUCACCUGGGUGAUCAUUGCAGGGAUAUGUCACAAAGCACCCUGUAGGCAGAUCCUAGAGAAGAGUUAUAUCACCUGGGUGAUCAGUGCAGAGAUAUGUCACAAGCCCACUUUAGGCAGAGCCUAGACAAGAGUUACAUCUCCUCGGUGAUCAAUGCAGUGAUAUGUCACUAUGCCCCGUAGGCAGAGCGUAGACAAGAGUUACAUCA
rnacentral:lncRNA from 1 species